CCCAUAGAUGUUCUGGGCCGCACACGCGCUACACUGAAGGAGGCAGCGUGUACUCCUGGAUCGAAAGAUUUGGGUAACCCGCGAAUCUCCUUCGUGCUAGGGAUUGAGGUUUGCAAUUAUCCUUCAUGAACGAGGAAUUCCCAGUAAGUGCAAGUCAUAAGCUUGCGCUGACUACGUCCCUGCCCUUUGUACACACCGCCCGUCGCUACUACCGAUUGAAUGAUUUAGUGAGGACUUCGGACUGGGACCGAUGCGGCUUUCGGGCUGCGUCGGUAUUCUGGAAAGAUGUCCAAACUGUAUCAUUUAGAGGAAGUAAAAGUCGUAACA
rnacentral:rRNA from 1 species